UUUUGGACAAUGGGCGCAAGCCUGAUCCAGCCAUGCCGCGUGAGUGAAGAAGGCCUUCGGGUUGUAAAGCUCUUUCGGCGGGGACGAAACGGUUCGUGCUAAUACCACGGACUACUGACGGUACCCGCAGAAGAAGCACCGGCUAACUACGUGCCAGCAGCCGCGGUAAUACGUAGGGUGCAGGCGUUAAUCGGAAUUACUGGGCGUAAAGCGUGCGCAGGCGGUUUGUUAAGACAGGUGUGAAAUCCCCGGGCUUAACCUGGGAAUUGCGCUUGUAACUGGCAGACUGGAGUGUGGCAGAGGGGGGUGGAAUUCCAAGUGUAGCAGUGAAAUGCGUAGAUAUUCGGAGGAACACCGAUGGCGAAGGCAGCCCCCUGGGCUAACACUGACGCUCAUGCACGAAA
rnacentral:rRNA from 1 species